ACGUCCUAUGUAUUGUUGGGUACCCUAGAACUCGCAGGAAUACAGGACUGGUACCUCUGUAGUAUCCUUAAGAGAGGCAGCGGCCCCCGAGGGCCACCAGUAUGUACGAUUCCCGUCAACAUACUGUAGCCUUGUGUCCGGGUUGAGCUGGCGGGACUCGGGUGGAGUUGGCCGAACUUCACGUUGAUCCACAUCUCCGGUGGAUGACGAAUCUCAAAAAACGUGCAAGGGUUCUUAUUUUCUCCUCCUCCCCCUUUAAGGUGGUGGAGGAGUCUGAGUCGCUUGCUCCUUGACCCCGAGCCAAUGAGCGGUUCAAUUGUGUUGAUAUUAGAAUAGAAUAAAAUAGAAUAUAGAAUAGGUAGGUAGGUAUUCCUAUAUUAGUCCCACUGUGGGGAAAUUUCAAAAUCCCAAAAGUUUAGAAUGAAUUAUUUUGAAUGUGUUGCAUCUUCAAAUUCACUCUGAUUCUUCUUUCAGUUUUGUAAAUCACGCUUUGGUGGGAUAAAGUCGGCCUCACUAAAGCCACAUUUAGUGGCUAGGAGGACCCCCAGCCCUUCUCCUCCUCCUCCUUUCAUAUCCUCUGUGAGGACACCCAGCAGCCCAGAAGAUGAUGGUGAGCCUGGAGGAGUUCAGCUAGCCGCUGCUGGGGCUGCAGCUUCAUUCUGGUUGCCGUCGGAGAUGAGAAAGACCCUCCCUGCAGGAGGGGCCGGGACUGGACGUGAUGGUCUCCGGAGUGUCUGUGUUGGAUGGGUACCCUAGAACUCGCAGGAAUACAGGACUGGUACCUCUGUAGUAUCCUUAAGAGAGGCAGCGGCCCCCGAGGGCCACCAGUAUGUACGAUUCCCGUCAACAUACUGUAGCCUUGUGUCCGGGUUGAGCUGGCGGGACUCGGGUGGAGUUGGCCGAACUUCACGUUGAUCCACAUCUCCGGUGGAUGACGAAUCUCAAAAAACGUGCACGGGUUCUUAUUUUCUCCUCCUCCCCCUUUAAGGUGGUGGAGGAGUCUGAGUCGCUUGCUCCUUGACCCCGAGCCAAUGAGCGGUUCAAUUGUGUUGAUAUUAGAAUAGAAUAAAAUAGAAUAUAGAAUAGGUAGGUAGGUAUUCCUAUAUUAGUCCCACUGUGGGGAAAUUUCAAAAUCCCAAAAGUUUAGAAUGAAUUAUUUUGAAUGUGUUGCAUCUUCAAAUUCACUCUGAUUCUUCUUUCAGUUUUGUAAAUCACGCUUUGGUGGGACAAAGUCGGCCUCACUAAAGCCACAUUUAGUGGCUAGGAGGACCCCCAGCCCUUCUCCUCCUCCUCCUUUCAUAUCCUCUGUGAGGACACCCAGCAGCCCAGAAGAUGAUGGUGAGCCUGGAGGAGUUCAGCUAGCCGCUGCUGGGGCUGCAGCUUCAUUCUGGUUGCCGUCGGAGAUGAGAAAGACCCUCCCUGUGCAGGACCAGAGGUGGAUUGCCAACACCCUCUUAACGAUCUACAUUUGUGUCAGACAGGAAUUUUUAUGUACAGAUUUAUGAACAAUAAUCUGCCCCACAAUCUGUUACGUAUGUUCACAAGGAACACACAUGUCUACAACCACAACACGCGCCUGCGUGGUGGCAUACAUAUUAAUAAACAUACAGUCGACAUUGUAUUUAAAAGCUUCAUCCGUAGAGGUCCAAAGCUCUGGAGCCAAAUUCCGGACGAGGUCAAAUCAGCAUCCACCACCAAGGCAUUUGGUUCCCGCCUUAAACGCCAUCUCACUUCACUUUAAAAGUUAUUAUUAUUGAUAUACAGCCUGGCGGCACAGUACAAUAGAGGAAAGAUAUUUAAAUUUAAUUGUAUAUACAUACCUUGAUGUUCUUGAUAUUAUUAUUUUUUCUAAGUUAUCAGUAGUUCACAUUUGCCUUUAUUAUUAUUUUUACUAUGUUUCUUUCUUUUUUGUUUUCUUUUUCCUGUUCUGGGUUAAAGGGUUCUGGGCGGGGCCGUCCAACUCCUCAUCUCAGAGGAGCCUACAGACCUCGGUCUUUGGACGGUCCUCCAUUCGUACAUUUUUGUUGUUAAUGUCUGUCAGUAUGUACACGUUAUGUAGGUACCUACGGAAAAUAAAUUACUGACUUACUUA